rnacentral:lncRNA from 10 species
CGUGAGCCCAGAUCAGGCCACUACACUCCAGCCGGGGCAACAGAGCGCAACUCCGUCUCAAAACAAACAAACAAAACAAAACAAAAAAAACUUAUAGACAAGUACAAAAUGAGAAGAAAAAGUCCCUUUCCCUUCAUGCCUCUACUUCCUGCUGUAUUCUCAAAGGACCUUCUCCUGGCAGCUGCCUAUGUUUUGGAUGCCCAGUACAACAGAAAUGUUCCAUUUGAAACUCACCUCAGGCCAUCAGACGUUACUAUUUUUAUAACCACUAGACAACGCAGGUUGCCGCAUACUUCUUUAUUUGUGUAGACCUCGCUCUUGCCCUGUUUGAAGAGCCUGAGUUGCUUCCCCUGCCUUUCUUGGCCACCUCAAUAGCAGAAGUACUCUGCCUGACUGCAUACUUUGGCAGACUGGUACAUUUUGCAAAAGUCACUCCUCAAAUGGUUUUCUGGAAGGAUACAAAAGACAUCUGCACCAUGGUAACCACAGUGGCGAGUGUUCAUUGUAGUACCUGUAAGAGUUUAUGACCAAAGGCAGGAGCCAUGAAGAAAAAAGACUCAAUAGAUUUGCUUUUGAUGAAACAACAACACUUCCAUACAGUGAACGCCAUAAGCACAACUGCAAGCAAA